CCUACGGGUGGCAGCAGUGGGGAAUAUUGGACAAUGGGGGGAACCCUGAUCCAGCCAUGCCGCGUGUGUGAAGAAGGCCCUCGGGUUGUAAAGCACUUUCAGUGAGGAAGAACGCCUGGUGGUUAAUACCCAUCAGGAAAGACAUCACUCACAGAAGAAGCACCGGCUAACUCCGUGCCAGCAGCCGCGGUAAUACGGAGGGUGCGAGCGUUAAUCGGAAUUACUGGGCGUAAAGCGCGCGUAGGUGGCUUGAUAAGCCGGUUGUGAAAGCCCCGGGCUCAACCUGGGAACGGCAUCCGGAACUGUCAAGCUAGAGUGCAGGAGAGGAAGGUAGAAUUCCCGGUGUAGCGGUGAAAUGCGUAGAGAUCGGGAGGAAUACCAGUGGCGAAGGCGGCCUUCUGGACUGACACUGACACUGAGGUGCGAAAGCGUGGGUAGCAAACAGGAUUAGAUACCCUAGUAGU
rnacentral:rRNA from 1 species